UUUUGCCAAUUCUGGCUCUGUAGAAAAAUGUUUCUGAAAAAAAAUUGACAGAGUCCCCACAACCUUCAUAGUCAUAGCCUGAUAAACUAGACAAGGACCUUCUGCAUGAGAUCUCCUUACUCCUUGCAAAGGAUAUAAAGCUACUGGAGAGUGUCCAAAAGAGGACCAUAAAGUUGGUGAAGGGUGUGGAGGAGAAGCCAUAUGGGGAGCGGCUAAAGUCACUGGGUUUGUUCAGCCUGGAGAAGAGGAGGCUGAGGGGAGACCUCAUGGUGGCUACAGCUUCCUCACAAUGGGAGGAGGAGGGGCAGGUGCCGAUCUCUUCUGUCUGGUGACCAGUGACAGAACCCGAGGCAAUGGCAGGAAGAUGUGCCAGGUGAGGUUUAGGCUGGACAUGAGGAGAAGGUUCUUUACCCAGAGGGUGGUGGAGCGCUGGAACAGGCUCCCCAGGGAGGUGUCACAGCCCCAAGCCUGACAAGUGUUCAAGAAGAGACUGGACAGUGCACUCAGACACAUGGUGUGAACUGUGGGGUUGUCCUGUGCAGGGACAGGAGUUGGACUCAAUGAUCCUUGUGGGUCCCUUCCAACUCAGGACAUUCUAUGAUUCUAUGAUUCUGUGAAGUAGUAUUGCCUCAUCCCUUCUCAGGUAGAUGCCAUGCCAGACACCUGUUAUACUGCAGGGCAGCCCCCUAAGGCAAACAUCCUUACUCCAGACAGGUCUGUCCCCUGAGAGGCAUGUGGCUGUUUGGUUUGUUUUUAAAUUAAGUUUUUUGCUGUUUAUUCCCCUGUCAGCCAGAUUUUUGUAGUAACCCCCAUCACAGCAGACUCUGAGCCUGCAGGCUGUGCUCAGCACCUUGUGCUGCGGGAAUGCUCUGCGAUGGGGAGGGAGGAUGCAGAUGCCUGGAUUUGGGAAGGACUGUGUUGCCUCUGGGCUUUCAGCUUUAGCUGAUGGUGCUAUGUCACUGCUGCAGAGGGAGACGUGGAUAAGGGCAAGUGUUGGGAACCGUACCCCAACCCAGCCCUGCUCAGAGCCCCUUCCCCUGCUGCAGCCAACCGGGGCAAGGAGACUUUGUUGUCAACAGUGACAAGCUUCAUCCGGAGUUUAUUGAUCUGGGCUUAUCUGGGAAUUAAGAACCUCCAUUAGGUAUUCACUGCUAGCACGGGGCUUGCUGUGAUAUUUUAGACAAAGCCCUCUUUAGAGAUUUACUGCUUACUUCCUGCUUUUCUGAGUUCCCUUUGAUGCAGGGAGAAGAAACUGCAAUCUUUCAAACUUCUUAAUGACGACAGGGUUAGCUGGUUGCAGGUAUUCAUGUGACAGGCCUACAGGCUGCCAGUGAAUGCACAGGGCCCGGCUUGUCUGACUCCCCAUCACACUGCAGGACACACUCAGACACCCUGCCUGGGUGUCCACGGAAUGGCCGGUGCAGCCUCUGGAACUGCCUCUCAUCUGCUCCGUGGUGAUGCCUGUUUUCACAGAAGGGUGAAAGGGAAGGACAGAGGGACAGUUUUUACUAAAUGUGAUAAGAAUUUACGAGAUGUGUGGAUGUGCUUACUCUAAUGAAGGCAGCACAGGUGAGGCAGCAGUGUGCCGAGUGGUGUUACCAGCAGAGCCCCUCUCUUGCUGCUGUGUGAUUACUUUGCCGUGGGUUUGCUGCCUUCCUAUCAUAUCCCUGCUUGGUUUUAUGUCUUGCAAAAGUAUUGGUGUCUUUGUGUAUCUAAGUGCUUAAAAGAGUGAAUUCCUUACCUGGGAAUUUGUUCACCUCAAGAUUUAACGAGCAUGUACUCAAAUGUGGUGUGUAGUGAGUUGUGAGUGGUGACUCCAACCUCUGGACAUUGUCUUUAUUGUGUGUAUAAGCAAAUAACAUAUUCAGCAAACAGCCAAGGCAGGGAGAAUAAUUAUAUAGCACUUCUUGUUUAAGCCAGAAGUGCUUUCUGUUGGGAAAUACCAAGUGUAAUACUUCAGAGAAACAAAAUGUAAUCAGUAAUGUGUGCUUCAGGGUGAAUGCUGCACAACCUGUGACCACUGAAUGGCAUGACAAAUCUAUGGACUGCCUUAUCGCGCUUUAGCAAUAAAUGCUACUAGGAUAGAAAAAUAAUGUAAAGUUACCUUUCCUAGAUAAAAGAAUUUUAUAUCUAAAAUGCACUAAAAAAAAGAAAAUAAAAUUAAAGAAACACAAAAAUCUAA